rnacentral:sRNA from 1 species
GCUGGGCAUGUUGGCACACACCUGUAAUCCCUGCAGCCUGGGAGGCUGAGGCAGGAGGAUCACAAGUUCAAAGCCAGCCUCAGCAAUGGUGAGGUGCUAAGCAAUUCAGUGAGACCUUGUCUGUA